rnacentral:lncRNA from 1 species
GCAAAGUCUUAGUUGUGGCAAUCCCCUUGUGUAAUAGGAAAAUGUGUCGAAGUAAUAGCCUGAUAUUGUCAAGUUCAGCUGCAUUAUAAGAAUAGUCCUGAUCAUUUCAUGUAUUUGCUCUUUAAUAUGAGCUGAAGACAGAUUAUUACACUGAAAAACAGUGUUUUGCCUUCCUGGAGAUAAAUAUGACACAUUCUUAGUACUGCUGCCUGGAAAAGCCACCAAAGAUGAAGCAGACAACUGGGUGCAUCUGUAGGUUUUCAAGCAAAUGCAUAGAAAAAAAAAGAAAGUUAUAAGAAUUCUUUAAAAAUAAAAAGGUAUAAAGUUGUCUCCAUUUGCCUUCUGCUUUCUUAGGCUUGGCUCUGGUUUAUGCAAUUUAUUAAUUUUUAAAGGAAAGCUGAAAAUCCCAUGUAAUCUUGUUUCCCAGAUAGCAGGGAAAUACACAGAAGGUGUUACCAUUCAUAUUUAUAAGGGGAGGAAGUACCACUGUGACAAGGUUGACCGACCUCAUACACAACAUAGAUCCAUAGGAAUCCUUUGACUGAAUUCAGCAUUUAAAUUCUAAACAAUCUUGUCAGAUAACCCAUGAGAGCCACUAAAAUGUUGGUGCAAAGAUUAGUUACACUUUGUUUCAAAAAUGAGAGUCUAAUUCCCAUUUUGCUUGGUUUAGUUUCCAGCAAGUGGCUCGUGUUGCUGCCAUGCCUGCUGCAUGAAGACUGCUUUCCUCCCUGGAGUGAAUGUUGCCUGUGUGUAGCCUCUGGUGAGGGGAAACUACCAGAAACCAUGUACAAGACAAGCUGCAAAGGAUGCCUGAACAUGGAGCUUGGCCCUGCAAGACAAGAGACCAGGAGCAUCCAGUCUCAUGUGAUUUUGGAGUACAACUGAACAAUCCAGAUUCUACAGACAAAACGGGAAGGCAAAGUUUGGAGAAUCACACAUCGGUGGCUGCAGAUGAUGAAGCAGGGUUUGACAGACAGGUAUGGGAAAGGACCCCAUGAAUCCCAGGAGUUGGAUUAGAUGAUCCUUAC